GAUGAACGCUGGCGGCGUGCCUAAUACAUGCAAGUCGAGCGAACAGACGAGGAGCUUGCUCCUCUGACGUUAGCGGCGGACGGGUGAGUAACACGUGGAUAACCUACCUAUAAGACUGGGAUAACUUCGGGAAACCGGAGCUAAUACCGGAUAUUCUAUUGAACCGCUUGUUUCAUUAUUGAAAGACGUUUUUUCUGUCACUUAUAGUUGGAUCCGCGCCGCAUUAGCUAGUUGUUAAGGUAACGGCUUACCAAGGCAACGAUGCGUAGCCGACCUGAGAGGGUGAUCGGCCACACUGGAACUGAGACACGGUCCAGACUCCUACGGGAGGCAGCAGUAGGGAAUCUUCCGCAAUGGGCGAAAGCCUGACGGAGCAACGCCGCGUGAGUGAUGAAGGUCUUCGGAUCGUAAAACUCUGUUAUUAGGGAAGAACAAAUGUGUAAGUAACUAUGCACGUCUUGACGGUACCUAAUCAGAAAGCCACGGCUAACUACGUG
rnacentral:rRNA from 1 species